AUUGAACGCUGGCGGCAUGCCUUACACAUGCAAGUCGAACGGUAACAGGUCUUCGGAUGCUGACGAGUGGCGAACGGGUGAGUAAUACAUCGGAACGUGCCUAGUAGUGGGGGAUAACUACUCGAAAGAGUGGCUAAUACCGCAUGAGAUCUACGGAUGAAAGCAGGGGAUCGCAAGACCUUGUGCUACUAGAGCGGCCGAGGGCAGAUUAGGUAGUUGGUGGGAUAAAAGCUUACCAAGCCGACGAUCUGUAGCUGGUCUGAGAGGACGAUCAGCCACACUGGGACUGAGACACGGCCCAGACUCCUACGGGAGGCAGCAGUGGGGAAUUUUGGACAAUGGGCGAAAGCCUGAUCCAGCAAUGCCGCGUGCAGGAUGAAGGCCUUCGGGUUGUAGACUGCUUUUGUACGGAACGAAAAGCCCCGGGUUAAUACCCUGGGGUCAUGACGGUACCGUAAGAAUAAGCACCGGCUAACUACGUGCCAGCAGCCGCGGUAA
rnacentral:rRNA from 1 species